GAUAUCAGGGUCAAAAGGUCAAAAAGCCGUUCGUGCUUGCACGAUUAGGCUUUUGAACUUGGGACCCGCAAAACAUGAGGAAGCAGCGAUUUAUGCGGUAAAUCAGCGUAUUCCGAAUGUUUUAGAAUUGCGGGAGCUGUUCUACAGCGGAGCAAUUCGAAGAUAUC
rnacentral:sRNA from 1 species